rnacentral:rRNA from 1 species
GAUUGAACGCUGGCGGUAUGCUUAACACAUGCAAGUCGAACGGAAACGAUACUAGCUUGCUAGUAGGCGUCGAGUGGCGGACGGGUGAGUAACGCGUAGGAAUCUGCCUGAUAGUGGGGGAUAGCCCGAAGAAAUUCGGAUUAAUACCGCAUAAUCUAUUCGUAGUAAAGUGGGGGACUUUCGAGCCUCACGCUAUCAGAUGAGCCUGCGUAAGAUUAGCUUGUUGGUAGGGUAAAAGCCUACCAAGGCGACGAUCUUUAGCUGGUCUGAGAGGAUGAUCAGCCACAUCGGGACUGAGACACGGCCCGAACUCCUACGGGAGGCAGCAGUGGGGAAUAUUGGACAAUGGGGGCAACCCUGAUCCAGCAAUACCGCGUGUGUGAAGAAGGCCUGAGGGUUGUAAAGCACUUUCAAUUGUGAAGAAAAGUUAGCGGUUAAUAACCGUUAGCCUUGACGUUAACUUUAGAAGAAGCACCGGCUAACUCCGUGCCAGCAGCCGCGGUAAUACGGAGGGUGCAAGCGUUAAUCGGAAUUACUGGGCGUAAAGCGUGCGUAGGCGGUUUAUUAAGUCAGAUGUGAAAGCCCCGGACUUAACCUGGGAACUGCAUUUGAAACUGGUCAACUAGAGUAUGGUAGAGGGAAGUGGAAUUUCUGGUGUAGCGGUGAAAUGCGUAGAUAUCAGAAGGAACAUCAAUGGCGAAGGCAGCUUUCUGGACCAAUACUGACGCUGAGGUACGAAAGCGUGGGUAGCAAACAGGAUUAGAUACCCUGGUAGUCCACGCCGUAAACGAUGAUAACUAGCCGUUGGGGGGAUUUACCCUUUAGUGGCGAAGCUAACGCGUUAAGUUAUCCGCCUGGGGAGUACGGCCGCAAGGUUAAAACUCAAAGGAAUUGACGGGGACCCGCACAAGCGGUGGAGCAUGUGGUUUAAUUCGAUGCAACGCGAAGAACCUUACCUGGUCUUGACAUCCUGCGAACUUUCUAGAAAUAGAUUGGUGCCUUCGGGAACGCAGUGACAGGUGCUGCAUGGCUGUCGUCAGCUCGUGUCGUGAGAUGUUGGGUUAAGUCCCGUAACGAGCGCAACCCCUAUCCUUAUUUGCCAGCACAUCAUGGUGGGAACUAUAAGGAGACUGCCGGUGAUAAACCGGAGGAAGGCGGGGACGACGUCAAGUCAUCAUGGCCCUUACGACCAGGGCUACACACGUGCUACAAUGGGAAGGACAAAGAGCCGCGAAGCCGCGAGGUGUAGCUAAUCUCAUAAACCUUUUCGUAGUCCGGAUUGGAGUCUGCAACUCGACUCCAUGAAGUCGGAAUCGCUAGUAAUCGUAGAUCAGAAUGCUACGGUGAAUACGUUCCCGGGUCUUGUACACACCGCCCGUCA